AGGAGACCCACUGGGGUCCUUUGGAGGAUCCGAGGGCGGGCUAUGAGCUCCGAAACCUGACAGAGGACAGCUCGGGAGAGUAUCGGUGCUCUGUUCAUAACUUCAGUAAGACUUUUGAAGUGGAAGUGCAAGGAACUCUGAAGCCGCCAAAGUUGGGCAUCACCAAGAAUACUUUUCCAGUGGUGGGCUACAGCAUGAAACUUUUCUGUCAAAUUCCGGAUAACAAAUUCCAGUCGGAACCCACUUUCACCUGGAAUCGGCUCAACAAAGAUAACAGAACGGUUGAGACACUACCUGAACACCAUCAUGUUCAGUCGCACAUGUAUUAUACCAGUUACCUUCUCGUCCAAAAUGUCACACUAGAGGACAGCGGAACAUACGAAUGCACAGUCAACACUGAAGGACGACC